rnacentral:rRNA from 1 species
UACGAAGGGGGGCUAGCGUUGCUCGGAAUCACUGGGCGUAAAGCGCACGUAGGCGGAUUGCUAAGUCAGGGGUGAAAUCCUGGAGCUCAACUCCAGAACUGCCUUUGAUACUGGCGACCUUGAGUCCGGGAGAGGUGAGUGGAACUGCGAGUGUAGAGGUGAAAUUCGUAGAUAUUCGGAAGAACACCAGUGGCGAAGGCGGCUCACUGGUCCGGUACUGACGCUGAGGCACGAAAGCGUGGGGAUCAAACAGG